CGGCGGUUCGUUCGUUAUUUGUCGUCACUCGAUUUCUGAACGCUUCAAAUGACACCAUGCUAUGCGCCAUAAAUCUCUUGUUCACGUUCGUGGACAUUCCUUAUCGUCACGUCCGUUUAAUGGCCUUUUGUCUGACGCAUAUUUUUUUUAGCUAACGUAACGUUACCGCUCUUUGGUGUUAUGGAAGGAGACACUGCUUCUGUAACAGGCAAACCUAUUGUGAGAUGAAGAUUUGCGCUGUUUCCUAUAACACAGCUGUGUACACGUACCGAAUUUUGUCCAUUCAUUGCAAAAAAGGUGACUGCCAGCCUUUUUUCGAACAAAGAACAGUGAUGGAGAAAGCGAAGGAUGAGCAUACAAGAGAGAUGUCGGAAACCUCCCAUAUCCCAAGAGAAAAAGAUACACCUGUGAACACCCUAUCUAUUGUGCUGUCAAGCCCAGAGCUUGAGGGGAUGUGCACACCUUAUC